rnacentral:rRNA from 1 species
CCUACGGGGGGCUGCAGUGGGGAAGAUUGGACAAUGGGGGCAACCCUGAUCCAGCCAUGCCGCGUGUGUGAAGAAGGCCCUCGGGUUGUAAAGCACUUUCAGUGAGGAAGAACGCCUGGUGGUUAAUACCCAUCAGGAAAGACAUCACUCACAGAAGAAGCACCGGCUAACUCCGUGCCAGCAGCCGCGGUAAUACGGAGGGUGCGAGCGUUAAUCGGAAUUACUGGGCGUAAAGCGCGCGUAGGUGGCUUGAUAAGCCGGUUGUGAAAGCCCCGGGCUCAACCUGGGAACGGCAUCCGGAACUGUCAAGCUAGAGUGUAGGAGAGGAAGGUAGAAUUCCCGGUGUAGCGGUGAAAUUCGUAGAGAUCGGGAGGAAUACCAGUGGCGAAGGCGGCCUUCUGGACUGACACUGACACUGAGGUGCGAAAGCGUGGGUAGCAAACAGGAUUAGAUACCCUUGUAGUC